GACGAACGCUGGCGGCGUGCUUAACACAUGCAAGUCGAACGGAAAGGCCCUUCGGGGUACUCGAGUGGCGCACGGGUGAGUAACACGUGGGUGAUCUGCCCUGCACUUUGGGAUAAGCCUGGGAAACUGGGUCUAAUACCGAAUAGGACCACGCGCUUCAUGGUGUGUGGUGGAAAGCUUUUGCGGUGUGGGAUGGGCCCGCGGCCUAUCAGCUUGUUGGUGGGGUAAUGGCCUACCAAGGCGACGACGGGUAGCCGGCCUGAGAGGGUGACCGGCCACACUGGGACUGAGAUACGGCCCAGACUCCUACGGGAGGCAGCAGUGGGGAAUAUUGCACAAUGGGCGCAAGCCUGAUGCAGCGACGCCGCGUGAGGGAUGACGGCCUUCGGGUUGUAAACCUCUUUCACCAGGGACGAAGCGUAAGUGACGGUACCUGGAGAAGAAGCACCGGCCAACUACGUG
rnacentral:rRNA from 1 species